UACGGGGGGAGCAAGCGUUGUUCGGAUUUACUGGGCGUAAAGGGCGGCGUAGGAGCGGCCAGCACAAGUCAGUUGUGAAAUCUCCGAGCUUAACUCGGAAAGGUCAACUGAUACUGUGCGGCUAGAGUGCGGAAGGGGCAACUGGAAUUCUUGGUGUAGCGGUGAAAUGCGUAGAUAUCAAGAGGAACACCUGCGGCGAAGGCGGGUUGCUGGGCCGACACUGACGCUGAGGCGCGAAAGCCAGGGGAGCGAACGGG
rnacentral:rRNA from 1 species